rnacentral:rRNA from 1 species
UACAGAGGUCUCAAGCGUUGUUCGGAUUCAUUGGGCGUAAAGGGUGCGUAGGCGGCGCGGUAAGUCGGGUGUGAAAUCUCGGAGCUUAACUCCGAAACUGCAUUCGAUACUGCCGUGCUUGAGGACUGGAGAGGAGACUGGAAUUUACGGUGUAGCGGUGAAAUGCGUAGAUAUCAGGAGGAACACCGGUGGCGAAGGCGGCAUCCUGGACCGACACUGACGCUGAGGAGCGAAAGCCAGGGGAGCAAACGGG